rnacentral:rRNA from 1 species
CCUUAGAGUUUGAUCCUGGCUCAGAACCAUUGCUGGCGGCAGGCUUAACACAUGCAAGUCGAACGCCCCGCAAGGGGAGUGGCAGACGGGUGAGUAACGCGUGGGGAACGUACCCUUUACUACGGAAUAACUCAGGGAAACUUGUGCUAAUACCGUAUGUGCCCUUCGGGGGAAAGAUUUAUCGGUAAAGGAUCGGCCCGCGUUGGAUUAGCUAGUUGGUGGGGUAAAGGCCUACCAAGGCGACGAUCCAUAGCUGGUCUGAGAGGAUGAUCAGCCACAUUGGGACUGAGACACGGCCCAAACUCCUACGGGAGGCAGCAGUGGGGAAUAUUGGACAAUGGGCGCAAGCCUGAUCCAGCCAUGCCGCGUGAGUGAUGAAGGCCCUAGGGUUGUAAAGCUCUUUCACCGGUGAAGAUAAUGACGGUAACCGGAGAAGAAGCCCCGGCUAACUUCGUGCCAGCAGCCGCGGUAAUACGAAGGGGGCUAGCGUUGUUCGGAAUUACUGGGCGUAAAGCGCACGUAGGCGGGUAUUUAAGUCAGGGGUGAAAUCCCAGAGCUCAACUCUGGAACUGCCUUUGAUACUGGGUACCUAGAGUAUGGAAGAGGUAAGUGGAAUUCCGAGUGUAGAGGUGAAAUUCGUAGAUAUUCGGAGGAACACCAGUGGCGAAGGCGGCUUACUGGUCCAUUACUGACGCUGAGGUGCGAAAGCGUGGGGAGCAAACAGGA